rnacentral:rRNA from 1 species
CACUGACGUCGCGACGCAUAUCAAUAAGCGGAGGAAAAGAAACUAACUAGGAUUCCCUUAGUAACGGCGAGUGAAGCGGGAAGAGCUCAAAUUUGAAAUCUUCAAGGUUCUACCUUGACGAAUUGUAGUUUAAAGAAGUGUUUUCUGUUAGAUGAGUAGCAAAAGUUCCUUGGAAUAGGACAUCAUAGAGGGUGAGAAUCCCGUAUUUGGUCAUUCCUUCUAGCUUUGUGAUACACUUUCAAAGAGUCGGAUUGUUUGGGAAUGCAGUCCAAAAUGGGUGGUAAAUUUCAUCUAAAGCUAAAUAUUGGCGAGAGACCGAUAGCGAACAAGUACCGUGAGGGAAAGAUGAAAAGAACUUUGAAAAGAGAGUUAAACAGUACGUGAAAUUGUCAAAAGGGAAGCGUUUGACACCAGUGUUGUUUUUCCGAAAAUCAAUUAUAAAUGUGAUUCAUGCUAGAGUUGUAUUGACCUUAUCAGGCUUGCAUUUAGUUUUGGUACUCUUUUGUAAUGCACUUUUCGGUUAACAAGUCAACAUCAAUUUCCUUUCGCUGUAAAAGAGUAUAGGAAGGUGGCUUCAUUUCGGUAGAAGUGUUUAUAGCCUUUAUACUUCUACAAGUCGGAGAGAUUGAGGUCUGCAGCGUAGAUCCUUCGGGGCUAGAUACACUUCGUGCUAAGUUGUAGCUUUUCAUAGACAACUUGUUGACUAUGUUAGUCAUGGGAUUUACUCGCUAGUGCUAUUUUACCUACGCUUAGGAUGUUGAGUCGUAGAGCACGCAG